GCUUUGUUCCCCGGGCGCGGGCUGCAUUUUCCCACGCGCGGAGAGGAUCGCAGCGCAUUUCCGCCAAGACCUGUGAGACUGCGGUUCUGACCUGCGGGCCUCAAUGAAUAUGCACUAGGGACCUGGGCGCUGGGAGAGCCGUUCCCCUACACAAAGUACGCAUAUUAAUUAUGUAUACAACCCAGCGGGGACACUAAGAGCUCCAAAGGCCCUGUUUUCUUCCCAAAGAACAGCGCCCGUCUGCGUAGUUUGUACCUGGUUCUAUGAAGUGAGAACGCAUUCCCCCCUAGCACAGAAAUCCUACAAACUACUGUGGGGGCUGCAGUUCAGCAGAAGCUGUAUAAAAGGUGACUGGGGGCUAGGGAACAACACGAAGAUUUUUACAGAUCGUGAGAACCCAAGACCCUGGAGACCAUGAACCAAUCUCUGCAAAAGGCAGCCCCGCAUAGAAAGGGAAGAGCUGUGCAGCCUUCACGGUGGUUACCUUAUAUUGCAAGGGCUGACGCUUCUUAUUUCUGCUCUGACAGAAUCGAUAUGUUACUUAUCAUUCUCCAACUUUCCACGGCAAGAAUGACAUUUACACGCCACACAAAACACAAACUUUAGUACACAACCUAUUCUUUUAACUACAAAGUUCAGGGGAAAGCGCGAACGCAGUCCCCCACUACCACAAAUUAUGCAGUCGAGUUUCCCACAUUUGGGGAAAUCGCAGGGGUCAGCACAUCCGGAGUGCAAUGGAUAAGCCUCGCCCUGGGAAAACCACCUUCGUGAUCAUG